rnacentral:lncRNA from 1 species
ACUUUAGGUUAGCACCAUCAAUUUCAAGAGGGAAAGGUAGCGUAAUUGCAACAGCAGGAAUGAGGCUGCGAAGAAGGACAGAACCACAUAAAGGUAGACUCGAGGCAGAAGAGGAGAGCUGAGAGCAGCAGCUUGGAAAGAGGAUAUGAGACAUUUCUUGAGAGAGUAGUCUGCUGGGAGUAGCAAAAAGGAGCAAGAGAAAAGGAAGCUGCCCAACACUGAGGCAUUAAACAGUUACAUUGUCUACUUCCAUUCUUGGAAUAAACUGAAAAAACACAGAUAUACCAUGGGAUCAGCAUUGCAAUGACCUUGCAUACUUACCGGAAGGCUUUUAGCCACACGAGUACCGUGCUCAUCCAGGCAGAGCAGUACGCUUGUUAUUUUUAUUGUCACUUCCACAAACCUGCAAGCACUCUGCAAAGAAGUGUGUUAUGGAGUAUUUCUGAGUCCUCCAUUCAGAUGCAACAUUUUACGUUAAAGACCUAAGUCCCCAGAAUACUCAACUUCACAAAACUACUUGUUGAGUUUUAAAGGAUACCUGGUGCUUGCAUCCAGCCUGUGUAGCUCUUUGUCAGCAGAAAGAUUUGCUUCUCACACCAUUUUCAACUCUGAAGUCACAGGCCAAUCUACAUGGACUAGCAGAGACCUAGUGCUGCCUUCAAAAGUCUCAAAUGCACCAGAGCGCAUAGCUUACAGGAACUGAAAGUGCAUCAAAUUCUACAGGAUGUGCUCCACCUGACAUUUUACAACUUCUUUUUUU